rnacentral:rRNA from 1 species
UACGUAGGGUGCAAGCGUUAAUCGGAAUUACUGGGCGUAAAGCGUGCGCAGGCGGUUUUGUAAGCCUGUCGUGAAAGCCCCGGGCUUAACCUGGGAAUUGCGAUGGAGACUGCAAGGCUUGAAUCUGGCAGAGGGGGGUAGAAUUCCACGUGUAGCAGUGAAAUGCGUAGAGAUGUGGAGGAACACCGAUGGCGAAGGCAGCCCCCUGGGUCAAGAUUGACGCUCAUGCACGAAAGCGUGGGGAGCAAACAGG